UGAUAUAAUAGUCAUAGAAAAAAGAAAGGCGACUAAUAGUGAGAGUUGAAAGGCCCAACUGCUUGCUCCUACUUGCUUCCUAUUGCUUUGCAAGGAACAAAUUGAAGCGCUUGGCCUCUGUUUGUUUGCUGGCUCAAUGGCUUCUCCAAAAAUUUUGUGCCACAAUCGAAAGCGGUGCAUCGGUGCUGGUAGUUGACAGACUACAUGUCAGUGAACCGCUAAUUAAGCUAACCCAGGGCUUCCAUUUGUGCUCUGGAAAGCUUCUGUUUUGGAAUUCAUUUUCUACAUACUCCUGGCAGUUGCUCAUGAAUUCGUUUUCAAUCAUUUUCUCCUCUCUCGUAUGUACUUCAUUUGUUCCUUUUUCUUUAGUAAGGUUUUGGAGAGAGUGAUUCUUAAUUUCGUUGGUCCAAUCAAUGGAAGCAUGCCAGGUGUGAAGAGGAAGCCAGAGCUGAUUUUGAAACACAUCACAACCUGCCUGUGUUAAAAUCUCUAUCUCCUUUUGAGAAACAGCUGUCAACAGUUUAUACACAUGCAAUACACAAGAAAUUUCAGGUUGAGGUUUUGGGAACGGUUGCUUGCAGUCUGCGAAAGGAAUUUGAUGCUUUCUUCUUGCAACUCUUUCACUUGCUUCUCACAGGUUAUUUGAUGUCCAUGUGAAGGCUAUUGGUGGCAUUCAUACUGAUGAUCAUCGCUCAAAUGAAGAUGUUGCACUUGCCAUUGGAACAGUAACCUCCUGAAAUUGAUUAAUCAUUAUUCCUUUUAUGUGAUGUAACACAAAAGCUGUAGUAGUGAACAUUCUAUUUUCCAUGCUAUCUUCCUUUCUAAUUAGUAUUCUAUUUUCCGGCCAUGGGAGGUUUGAUGGUAGUUCUCGAUCGGUUCAGCGGAACAGCAUGGUGGCAGCGUUCCUUACGCGUGCGACACGAUUUUUUAUGAUUUGGAUCAGUGUUCUUCAGGCAUGCGUCUUGUCUUUAGUUUGUGGUGGAAAAGAAAAGUGUGGGUUGGUGAAAUGAAAAGUGAUUUGGGUUGAAAAGAAGGGUGUGGCUGGUUGAAAAGAGGAGUGCAGUAGCACCAUGGGUGUUUUUGCUUUGGGCUGUGUGGGUUGAUUUUGUGGGAUUUCAUGUAUUUUAUUUUUUAGUUAAGUCCUGAACUUUUUUUAUUUUCUUGAUUUGUCUUUUAUUUUUGUUUU